UACGUAGGGGGCAAGCGUUGUCCGGAAUCAUUGGGCGUAAAGCGCGUGUAGGCGGCUGGGUAAGUCCGCUCUGAAAGCCCGGGGCUCAACCCCGGGAGGCGGGUGGAUACUGCUCAGCUCGAGACCGGAAGAGGAGUGUGGAAUUCCUGGUGUAGCGGUGAAAUGCGCAGAUAUCAGGAGGAACACCAAUGGCGAAGGCAGCACUCUGGGACGGUACUGACGCUGAGACGCGAAAGCGUGGGGAGCAAACAGG
rnacentral:rRNA from 1 species